CAGGUCACCUGUUGGGAAAGGUUGCGUUUUGAUGCUGAGAACACAGACAGGUAAGCAGGGACCAUUGUGAGGACUCAGCAGGUAACCAUGCAGAGGUUACCAUGACAGCUGGAGAUGGGCUGGGAGUUCCCAUAAUGCCUCCGUCAGGUCCCACCAUGCUCUGGGUCAGAGUGGGCACAUACGGGUGACAGAGCCCGGGACAGGCUAAAAGGGUACAAAAGAAGCACAUACAGAGAGAAAGACUUUGAGAUCAGCUCAAAGGGAGAAGAAGAAAUAGGAAGUUGUUUAGACCAGGCCAGGAAAACCAAGCUGCGGGACAAGAGGGACUGACAGAUAACAGCAGAGGACACCAGUGGGGCAAAUUUCAGCUGCUACAUAUAAAUGUUCCUAGUAAUAGAAAUCAAGCACAAUGAGAAGAUAUAGAACUUAAAGCGGCUACUGCCUGCCUGUGACCAUGCAACGUGACACAAAUGAACAGGUAACCAGAUUUAUGGAGGCUCCUUCUUCACGAU